GAUGAACGCUGGCGGCGUGCCUAAUACAUGCAAGUCGAGCGAACAGAUGAGGAGCUUGCUCCUCUGACGUUAGCGGCGGACGGGUGAGUAACACGUGGAUAACCUACCUCUAAGACUGGGAUAACUACGGGAAACCGGAGCUAAUACCGGAUAAUAUAUUGAACCGCAUGGUUCAAUAGUGAAAGACGGUUUUGCUGACACUUAUAGAUGGAUCCGCGCCGCAUUAGCUAGUUGGUAAGGUAACGGCUUACCAAGGCGACGAUGCGUAGCCGACCUGAGAGGGUGAUCGGCCACACUGGAACUGAGACACGGUCCAGACUCCUACGGGAGGCAGCAGUAGGGAAUCUUCCGCAAUGGGCGAAAGCCUGACGGAGCAACGCCGCGUGAGUGAUGAAGGUCUUCGGAUCGUAAAACUCUGUUAUUAGGGAAGAACAAAUGUGUAAGUAACUAUGCACGUCUUGACGGUACCUAAUCAGAAAGCCACGGCUAACUACGUG
rnacentral:rRNA from 1 species